rnacentral:tmRNA from 1 species
GGGGCUGACCGGUUUUGACAGUAGGUGUGAAGAUCGGGCUCGCAUGCAGGCUGGAGUAUGUACGGCCUUAAAAGAUUCAUGCAAAGAUAACUGGCGAAACUUCUUACGCCAUGGCUGCCUAAUCUCUCCUAUCUUUGGAUGAGACCGGCUUAAAGGGUUGAGCACCCAUGCGGCGUUCCCCGGCCACAUCCCGCCAUCUGUUGCAUUGUCCGGAUGGAUUUGGGGUGUCGAUAAGACAAGGCUGCUUCCUGUGAGGCUACUAAUCAGGACUAAGACAAGUGGCUAAGCCAAACAUAGGUGUGUCAUCCAGCAGUGUUUGGUCGAAAACCCAACCGGUGACUAAGCAUGUAGACGGUACGGUGUUUCCCUAUCUGGACGCGGGUUCGAAUCCCGCCAGCUCCACCA